rnacentral:rRNA from 1 species
AACGAACGCUGGCGGCGUGCCAAGACAUGCAAGUCGUGCGGAAAGGCUCCUUCGAGAGCACUCGAGCGGCGCACGGGUGAGUAACGCGUGGGUAAUCUGCCUUCAGGUCUGGGACAACUUCGGGAAACUGGAGCUAAUACCGGAUGAGACCACGGGGCCUUCGGGUCCUGCGGAAAAAGAUGGCCUCUGCUUGCAAGCUAUCGCCUGUAGAUGAGCCUGCGUCCCAUUAGCUAGUUGGUAGGGUAACGGCCUACCAAGGCGACGAUGGGUAGCUGGUCUGAGAGGAUGAUCAGCCACACUGGGACUGAGACACGGUCCAGACUCCUACGGGAGGCAGCAGUGGGGAAUCUUGCGCAAUGGGCGAAAGCCUGACGCAGCGACGCCGCGUGAGGGAUGACGGCCUUCGGGUUGUAAACCUCUUUCAGCUCCGACGAAGCGGAAGUGACGGUAGGAGCAGAAGAUGCACCGGCCAACUACGUGCCAGCAGCCGCGGUAAUACGUAGGGUGCAAGCGUUGUCCGGAAUUAUUGGGCGUAAAGAGCUCGUAGGCGGUCUGUCGCGUCGGCUGUGAAAACUCGGGGCUCAACUCCGAGCUUGCAGUCGAUACGGGCAGGCUAGAGUUCGGCAGGGGAGACUGGAAUUCCUGGUGUAGCGGUGAAAUGCGCAGAUAUCAGGAGGAACACCGGUGGCGAAGGCGGGUCUCUGGGCCGAUACUGACGCUGAGGAGCGAAAGCGUGGGGAGCGAACAGGAUUAGAUACCCUGGUAGUCCACGCCGUAAACGUUGGGCGCUAGGUGUGGGAUCCCUUCCACGGGUUCCGUGCCGCAGCUAACGCAUUAAGCGCCCCGCCUGGGGAGUACGGCCGCAAGGCUAAAACUCAAAUGAAUU